AGAGUUUGAUCCUGGCUCAGAAUCAACGCUGGCGGCGUGCCUAACACAUGCAAGUCGAACGAGAAAGGGGCUUCGGCCCUGAGUAAAGUGGCGCACGGGUGAGUAACACGUGACUGACCUACCCUGGAGUGGGGAAUAACUGAGGGAAACCUUGGCUAAUACCGCAUAACACCUACGGGUCAAAGGAGCAAUUCGCUUUG
rnacentral:rRNA from 1 species